GCUGCAUUUUUAAUUCUGCAUUUCAUAGAUGUACGGUUGUAUAAUUUCUCAUCUGUUAGCAGCUAUUUUCACGUCUGCGUGUAAAUAUUGAGUUGGGGUCGUGGCCAGCAGCAGCUUGUUUGGAUUUAAAGUGACAGAGCCCUAAAACAACUCAUUCUGAGAGAAGUUAAAAUUUGUCAAAACUGACAGAAAUGUAAUGAAGAUGUCCUGUAUAGACCUGUCCUGACCUGUUCAAGGAAGCACAAUAUGUCAAGUUUAAGAUGAUUUGAUUUCUGCAGCUCCUCUCCUGGAUUUGUUGAUGUGGGCAAGCCUUCCUGUAAAUAAGCUCAAUAUUUAAAAGUCAAUUUUGCAAGGAGACAGGAGUGAAAAAUACAUCACCAUGCAGCAGAUAUGACAAUUACCUACAUGGACUGGUAGACGUAAUUUCCCCUCUAAGUAAUAAGCAUGCAAGGCUGUCAAAACAGCUUGGGAAAUACAUGACAUGUAAUAUUUGUGCUCCACACUAAACUCCAUCCUUUUUGUGAGUAAGGUCUGCUACAAAAUGUAGCUACAACCCAUGAUCCCUUCGUCGCUAAUAGCCGUUUCACUCAGUGUAGCCCUUUUCAUGCACUCCAUAAAGCCUUUUUGGUUAUAUUAUAUUUGUCCAGUGUACUGUGGCUUUUCAUCAGCCCCCUCAGCCUCUGUCCCCACACAGGCUUAUGUAACUUGGAGACAGAACUGAAUACAGUGAGUACAGUCAUUGUCCAACUCAGCACUGUACUUGGUCCUGACCAUCAGAGCAACAUUCUUACUGUGUGUCUCGUACUUUGUCCUCAUGGCUGAAAGCUCAAGUUAAUAUUCUGUUUAAUUCUACAGAAGCAAAAACAACAAAAAAAAGUUGUUUGUGAGAUAAAUGAAAAGCACAGUAUGGAAGAAAACAAAUAUGACCACAGCAAAACAUGGUAGUGGCAGCAUCAUGUCAUAGGGAAGUAUUUUCCCCAGCAGUGAAGUUGUUCUGUUUCCAAAUGCAGAUCAGACCAGACCAAAGAAAACUUGUUAGAAGCUACAAAAGACUUGAAACUGGAAACUGGGGGAAGUCAAAGACCUAAAUCCAAACAAAAAUCUGUGGCAAGACUUGAAAAUUGACAUUCAAAGAUAGUCUCCAGUCAGACUGAGUUCAGCUACUUUGUGGAUCUAAGGUCAACAAAUAAUAUAAAUGUGAAAAGCUAGAAUAUUUACAGCUAUAUUUCCAGAGGUUUUACAAAGUAACUUAACACCUAAUGUUUAAUUAAAUUUUAAAUGAAAGGUAUUUAUGAUUGUAAUCAUUGUGGAAAAAAUGGUACAGAGAUACAUAGACAAUCCAGUAUGGGGUGACGUUUGUAAAGUUAAAAAAUUAGCAGAAAUUAUUUGGUUAUUUAACCUGUCAUGAGUCCAUUUUUCAAAGUUAUAUUUUCUCCAUAUUAUUCAUUUAUUUACUAAUGUUGCUGUUUCAAAAUAGAUAUCUCAUUAGCAACAUGAAUAUUUACUAGUUCUAAACUAAAUAUUUAGUAAGCAACCUAAAUAAGCUAAAUAGUUAGAUUGCCAAUUAAAUAUGUAGCUCCAAACUAAAUAUUUAGCUAACAAGCUAGAUAUUUUUUAGCUCUAAACAGCUGGUGAGUCAGUGUGGCAGUGGAUCCAUUGGUAAACAUCCCACGUCCUUUGUUUUAAGCUGAAAUGUUUUACACAUUAGGAGGAAAAGAAACAGUUUAUUUUUAUAGUCCACUUCCGGUUAUCGGUAGGUGAACUUGCAUUAGCUAAAUAUAUAAAUAUAAAAUAUUAUAAAAUAAAUCUUCAACUUAAAACGGCACAUUUUAUGUUUUAAGCUGAAAUGUUGUACAUAUCGAGAGGAAAAGAAACUAUGCUGAAGAAGUGACCUGAGCAACAACAGUCACGCCAGCAGGAGCUGCUACGAAAACUUUUAUUUUGGUAUUCCACUUCCAGUUAUCGGAUGUAAUCUCUCCACGGAGUGACCAUGUCACUUCGGGCCACCGCACGGGGCCACAGCGCCGGGCCCUCGGAGCGACCUCUACCCGGCCCUUCAAUAAUAAAUGUCAUGCUGUCGGCAUAUGGCAGGUGGCAACACAACCCUUCACAGAUAGCGACCUGAAUCACGCCACUGCUCCGCGCAGUGUGAGGGCGGUGGACGGCCCAGACCUUACAUCUCUCCGCGGCGGCAAGCAAGAGCGCAGGACGAGCCGCUCAAGCCAUCCAAGUUGAGGAGGAGGAGGAAGAGGGAGAGAAAGAAGAGGAGGAGGGGAGAUCUUUGAAAGAAAACAGAGACGGGUCCUCGCAGCGGCAUCACCUCAACUUCUCAAGGCAAGAUUCGGGAUGGGCGAGUCCGGAGGGCAGUGGCGCAUCUCCACUCACCUCAGCUCCCCCUGACACGAACUAACCCUCCUCCUCCAAAACACAGGCAGCAGCUCCUGUGGUUGGCUGCAAAGCAAUCAGCGCAGGCUUUCUUUCUUUGUUUAUGUUUCUCCCUUCCCUCUCUCUCUCUUUCUUUCUGUCUGUGUUGCGUGUUAAAGUCGUGUUUGAUGCGCUGCAAACUCCCAAAAGUGGGCCGGUAUAAACACUGAUCCAAACGGCCACAAUAAAAAGAGUUUCAUCUUCUUUUCAGUCUAAA